AGCACCAACAUCACCAAUGGAGGCGAUGCGAUUCCACGUCAUAAUGGAAGCCCCAACCGGGAGAAUGAAGAUGGAUCUACCCAGCAUGAUGACAACACCAUUGCUGGUGAUGGAGUUGAUUGCAUUACCCAUCUAGAUGGACACGACCAGAUGACCACCGAAGAGCCAUGGGACCGAGGAGUAAAUAUGGGACAUGGUCUCCAGAGGUUGACCCGAGCUCAUGGUGCCAAACUGCCAGUUGUCAUAACUGAA